rnacentral:lncRNA from 1 species
CUUGCUUUUUCAUGCGUCAACAGCAGAUGACUUGAACAUAUUCCAGUCAGGUUUUCACAAUUUGCUUGAUUUCAGUUCAAACGAUAAAUACCAACGAUGACUGUUUCUUGACAAGAAAAACAAGCGAAAGCACCAACCAGGCAACUGUUUCAAUCAAUAUCUUCACCAUUUUGCUGUCAUUAUAAUUGCUACUAUCAUUUAUCCACCAUCAACACCGAUUAUAAUCACCAUCGUAACAAUCAUUUGUACCAUCAUAACCUCCAUCACCGCCCUAAGUUACAAAACCUUAACUAUCAGCAUUUUUACACCAUCGUCACUGUCAUCACCUCUAUCAUCGCCACCAGCAUCAGCACUGUUAUAAUCACCAUUUUCACCACCAUCACAACAUUGCAAUAACCACUAUCACCCUUUUCACCAUCACAACAUUGCAAUAAUAACCACUAUCACCAUUUUCACAAUCACAACAUUGCAAUAAUAACCACUAUCACCAUUUUCACCAUCACAACAUUGCAAUAAUAGCAAUCACUAUCACCAUCACAACACUGCAAUCUCAAUCAUCAUCACGACCACAAUUAUCACCGCAAUUUUCACCACCAUCAUAAUGACCAUCAACCACCACCAUCAGUAAUAUUUCUGUACUAUCAUUUCUAGAUCACCAUCUAUGAUCAUUACCAUCAUCACCAACACCAUCAUACACUUAAAUAAUCUUCCAUCAGCUUUUCACGGACAAUACCUCAUGCAAGGUACAGCUUUGCUUUCUACUUGAUAUUUGAUCCAUAAUUAGAACCUGUAACCCUAGGUAGGGAGGCGAGGGAGUACUAUCACUUGCCCAAGGUGAACUCCCAGACAAGCGGAGGGAAGGAGGUGUCUUACUUCUCCAUUCUAGACUGGCUCCAAGCGAAGUCUAGCCGCUGCCCCCAAAACAUCCUUAUUUAAUUA